rnacentral:tRNA from 1 species
AAGAAGUUAGUUAACAAUAUAACAUUAAUAUGUCAUAUUAAAAUUAUUAAUAUAUCUAAUACCUCUUU